rnacentral:rRNA from 1 species
UUUUUCCUACGGGGGGCAGCAGUGGGGAAUAUUGCACAAUGGGGGAAACCCUGAUGCAGCAACGCCGCGUGAAGGAAGACGGUUUUCGGAUUGUAAACUUCUGUUCUUAGUGAAGAAAAAUGACGGUAGCUAAGGAGCAAGCCACGGCUAACUACGUGCCAGCAGCCGCGGUAAUACGUAGGUGGCAAGCGUUGUCCGGAAUUACUGGGUGUAAAGGGAGCGCAGGCGGGAAGCCAAGGCAGCUGGGAAAACUACGGGCUUAACUUGUAGACGGCAGUUGAAACUGGUGUU